CUUGGUGGAAACCACUAUAACAGUUGCUAAUAUCUAACCCUCUCCCCUCUUAGAUGGAAUCAUCUGACUGUUAAUGUAGUCAUGCAGGACAAGCAAAUUCUGCAGAUGAGCUCUGAGGCAUUGAUUCCCCAAAUCUGAGAAAGACUAUAAUCCUUAAGCUUCUCGGAAAGGCUUGAUGUGGAAAGCUAUUUUGUAAGAAAGAAACAAGAAAAGAUUCUUGCCUCACACUUUACCACAUAUUAUGUAUGUUCAUAUUCUAUUUUGAAAUUGCUGAAAUUGCGCUGAUUAGUUUAUAUAGUAUUGAAUAAAGAGCACUGCAUGCUUGGCCAGGGGAAAUACUGAUGUUCUUUUAAAACUAGUUUACUGGCAUGUAUUCUAGAGAACCUGAUACACUUUUUUCAUUUCUACUGAUUUCAGAAUAAAGAGUUUUUAAUUCUGUUAUCUGCUUUGCAGGGAUUUGCCAUCUAGUCAAGACUCUGAGUUGGGCUGUCCAGAUACUAAAAAGAUUUGCAUAGAAAACAUUGUUGUACACUCAUUUUCUUCUCCUUCACCUCCCAUGUGCCAUGUAAAAAUUGCAAUUCUCAUGCUGAAGGGAUUGUCCCUUAUAUAAAUAAGUCUCAAGAUAUUCCAUAAUGUAGAUAUAAAGAUAUUUAUAAACUGACUUCACAUUUUGCAGUAAGACAUGGCUUGCUUAUUGAUGCUUAAAUAAAGCACAACAGGUGAUUCACACAGCACUGCAAAACCAGAUUAAUCAGUCCUGAGAUGUUAAAAUCAGCCUUUCCAAGUUGAUCUAUCUUGUGAAUAGACAUCAUCUCUCAAAUUCCCAGCCAGAAUACAAAUUGAUAAGUAUUUCUUAAAUAAUAAAGAGCCCUGCUGGAGCAGCAUAGUGACCUAGUGGUGUCACCACUCGGAAGGUUGAGAAUUCAAUCCUAGGUAGCAGCAGAUGCUUCCUUCCUAGGGCGCAAAGAAAAAAAAAUCUGCU